rnacentral:rRNA from 1 species
AUGUUCAUCUUUGUUCCUUCUCUGAGGCCAUCGUCGCCGCCUACCUCUCUCCAUCUUUGUUCCCAGUGGCUACAUUCGAGGGCAUGGUGUUCUGUGCUGGAGUUGGCCCCAGGUGCUUCAGAGGAUAUACAGGUUCUUUUGCCCGAGGAGAGGAACCCCAACCCGUCAGGUUUGAGGCCACUACCCCAUAGUGCAAAAUACUACCGAGUGUGUAUCACCGAUCCUGGUCAGUUUCUUCAUGAUACUUCAGUUGACUCGGAUGGACAUGAUCAAUACCACGCCCGGGGCCCAUAUGCAAUGGCCGUCUAA